rnacentral:tRNA from 2 species
UCCCUGGUGGUCUAGUGGUUAGGAUUCGGCGCUUUCACUGCCGUGGCCCGGGUUCAAUCCCUGGUCAGGGAA